CUGAACUUACUGGUUGGAAGGGAAUCUGCCGAGGAGGAGAGGACAGGAGCUCACCAAACAUUCCCUAGGGAGGAAAAGCCGGGUGGAUGUGAAAGGAUUUUAUUUAUUUAUUUAAUUUUUGGGGGGUGUCUGGGGAUUGAGUCCAAGGUCUUGCAUGUGCUAGGCAAGUGCUCUAGUCCUGAAAGCUUUUUUUUUUUUUUUUGAAAGGUGUACUUGUUUUGGGGGCUGGUCAAGAGCACUGGCUACUCUUUAAGAGAACCCCAGUUCUAGUGCCACGCCCCACCUGGUAGCUCACAGGGGUCUGUGACUCUGGUCCCAGGAGGUCUGACAUUCUUCUGGCCCGCACGCAUGUGGUGGGAAGGCUGAUACACAGGCAAAGCACCCCCAUACAGAAAAAUCACGGUAAGCGAAGGCAAAAGCGGAAAAAAAGGAUUACUAGGUAUGGAUGUUCGCCUGCGUGUGCAUGCCUGAUGCCUUCAGAGACCGGAAAAGGAUGCUGGAUCCCCUGAACUGGGGUAUGACUGGCACCAUGUGGGUACUAGGAAUGGAACCUGGGUCCUCUGCAAGAACAGUAAGUGCCCUUAACUGCUGUGCCACCUCUCCAGCACCCCUAAAAAGUUUGCUUUGAUGCCUGUUGACUAAAUGAUUGACACCUUGCACCCCAAUCCCAUUUUUUUUUUUUUUUAAUUUUUUAAUUAAUUACAGUUUUUUUCCACUUGGUUAUCCCAGCUGUAGCCCUCUCCCUCAUUCCCUCCCAAUCCCACCCUCCCUCAUCUCCUCCCAUGACCCUCUCCUCUCCAAGUUCCUUUUUAUUUAAGUUAAGCGUGGUUUUCUUUUUCUAUUAAGAUUUAUUUAGUUCAUUAUGUAUACAAUAUUCUGCCUGCGUGCACACCUGCAUGCCAGAAGAGGGCGCCAGAUCUCACUAUAGAUGGUUGUGAGCCACCAUGCGGUUGCUGGGAAUUGAACUCAGGACCUCUGGAAGAGCAAGCAGUGCUCUUAACCUCUGAGGCAUCUCUCUAGCCCGUCUAUUUAUUUAUUUAUUUAUUUAUUUAUUUAUUUAUUUAUAGGAAGGGUGUUAUGUAGCCUUGGCUGCCUCUUAACUCCUGAUUCUUAGCCUCCAACUCCCGAAUGUUUAAGUUUAGGAUCUGCCCCGUGGAGUAAAGGCUCUAAACACUAUUUAGAUUAAAUAAUUCAGCUCCCUUGAUGUCAGGAAAGGGAAUGCUAUAAGUCAUGUGCAUCUCAAUACCAUUCACCCGGGGUCUGAGAAGCUGCAGGCCCAGGCUUGCCAGCCUGGGGACCUUUACACACUCACGCCGAUGUGGCUCUGCCGGAGAGAUCUACCCAGAGUCGAAUUCUCUAUGUUGUAUGAGACCGGAAUCUCAUCUCCUCCCCCCACAGACAUAGCAAUUGUCUCAGUACCAGUUUUUUGAAUAAGGUCCACCCUCACAGGCCUUUUCUAACUCCUCUUUGCACCUAUGUGUAGGCCCAUUUAUCUCUGAACCACGCUUCCAUUUUGUUCUUUAGAAUCCUCCUGUCUGUCCCUGGUUCUCAGUCUCUCUUUAGUCCCUGCUCGUCACUGGGCCCCUCAUUCUCUCUACGACAGCAGUUCUAGGAGGCUGCCCCAGCUUUCUCUAAGAUGAGCUCCUCCCUUUCUUGGAAUGUGAUCUUCUGUCCUCUGGGUUUGGCAUCUUCCAGGCUCCCCCAGGCUUACCCGGGAUGUCCCCGGUCUGGGAAGAUUGCUUUCUUAACCUCAAAUUUGGUCGUAUUCAUUUUGGUGUUAUGAGACAGGGUCUCAAGUAACUAGGCUGGUCUUGAACUCACCAUGUAAGGCAGGCUUUUAACUCCUGAUCCUCCUGUACCUACCUCUAAAGUGCUGGGAUUAUAGACAUGCAUCAUCAUGCCUGGCAUAAUGGUAUUUAUCAUGACGUAAUGUGUCUGCCUGUAUUUUGGACCAGCUACAUAAUUUGCUAGCCACACUAUUAAAAUGGAAACAAAAAGGCCUUGGUUCAAAGCAGUUAAAGGUUCAAGACAGGGACAGCAGGGCAUAAAUUAAGUGCCCUGUAAAUGAGGGCACUAACAUAGGUCACAUGACCUUGGAUCUGGCACCACCUCUUCCCUUGCAUUCCUGCUAGGCUGUAAGCUUUAGGAACAGAACAGUCUGUCUGCUCCACCCUGUGUUGAAGGUGGUGGAUGGACAUGUAGGCAUCCAUUGUAGAUGUUCAGUUAAUAGGAACGGCCAACGCCUGGCUACAGGCUGACUUCCGCCUCUCCCAGGGUCUGGGAACGUCGGAGUGAGGAGAAUCGCUUUCUCCAGGUCUGAGUCUAGGUCUCAAAGGGAACUCCAGGGCCUGGCCUGAUGCGCAGCAGGGACAGUGGUCCUCCCUAAGUGGCUUUCCCAGCUCUUCUUGUAGGCACUUGGGCCUCUGGAGCCCAUGUGCAUGCCUGGUGUGUGAGCGUCUGCUUCCAGAUCUGACCUCCCUGCUUGUAAACAGUGAUUGCCACACAUACACUUUGCCCCAGGUGGGAUACAGGUGAGAGGGCGGGUGGCAGGGAGUUAGAGAUUGCUUUUUCUGAGAAGCGCCAGCUCUUCUCCCGGCCCUGCAGAGGUCCGAUGGGUAAUUAAAAGCAGGAUAAAAGCCCGCCACCCCCAGCUUCACGUUGCAUCUGGCUCCGUCAUAAUGACGUCGUCAGUCAACUGUCUGCUGCUGUAGAGCAGCCUCUAGAAGUUGCCAUGGCCCUUAAAACUGAAGGCCUGCCCUGCCUCUGUGACCGGCCUGUUCUCAGUAUCAAUGUCCCCCUCAGCCGUCUUGGAUCCCAAAGGCCUGGACAGACCAAUCCCAUACAGCAUAGGGCAGAAAUGCUCCCUAAACAGCAGAGACCUUCUUAGCCUUCACCAAGCUCUGCAUAGCCAGUCCAGAGGUAAGGUCAGAGGUCAUGAUCAACUUGACCUCUACCAGAUCAAGAACAACUGAAACAAAGACUGAUGAUGGCUGUAGACCAUUAAACAUCUGUUCUUCUCAGCAUGGUCAAGCUGAGAGUUCCUUCACCAACCAGUAACUCACAGAGCUCUAACUGCCUGUGCUGGGAUUAAAGGUGUGCACUAUGGUACUGUUUUAUUUUUUUUUUUUGACAAAUUCCUAGGUGGCCUAGGCUGACUUUGAACUCCUAAGUAUCUGAGGACUCCACAUCUAACGUAUUGAGACUGUAGUCAUGUGCAAACCGUGCCUGGCUUGAGAAGCAAUAUUGCUAUUUUUAUUUUAUUUUUAAUCUUUGAGGCAAUAUCUCAUGGAACUGUAUUUGUAGACCAGGCUGGCCUAGAACUCAGAGAGACACAUCUAAUUUCUGCCUUCUGCCUCCCAAGUGCUGGGAUUAAAGGUGUGUGCUGCCAUACCCACCUUCAUUUUUUUGUUUUUAUUUUUAUUUUUUUUGACACAGGGUCUCAGAUAAUUCAGGCUGACUCAUGUUCCUCUUUCCUCCACUUUCUGAGUGCUAUAAGUACUAUGCUUGCCUUUCCUUUUCCUUCCUUCCUUCCUUCCUUCCUUCCUUCUUCUUCAGUUUUUAGACACAGGGUUUCUCUGUGUAGCUCUGGCUGUCCUGUCUCACUCUGUAGACCAGGCUGGCUUUGAACUCACUGAGAUCAGUCUGCCUCUGCCUUCUGAGUGCUGGGCCUAAAGGUGUGAGCCACCACCACAUGGCUCAUUUAUCCAUUCACCAACCCACCUACCCACUUGCGUAUCCAUCCACCCAUCCACCCACCCAUCCAUCCACCCACCCACCCAUCCAGUCUAUCUGUCUAUCAUCUAUCUAUCCAUCCAUCUAUCUAUCUGUCUGUCUGUCUGUCUGUCUGUCUGUCUAUUAUGUGCUGUGGUUGUGCAUCCCAGGCUUGUUUCUGCCUCAGCCUCCCUGGCCCUUCCCAUCAGCCUUCAGAUGACCUGAUUCUCUUAUCUGGAUUCUACUUCUAUUUCCUGUAGAACAACCAGGCAAUGUGUAGCCUGAUGUAAAGUCCAAAGCUCUAGCUGUCAGGUCAGCAUCGUUUCCACGAAAAGUCUUCUGGGGUCCACCUUUCUGGCUCUGCGCUUGUCCCUGCUCUAGGAACUUAUGGCAUUAUUACAGAUCUGGAUCGAGUUCUUUGAACAUGAACUACGCCCUGCUGGGCACCUCAAGGCAGGGCAGGAGCCCAGCUCUAUAGUAAGUAAUCUCAAUAUCAGGUAGGCCACCCCUUGCCUGACUGGUACCUGCCAGCUUUCAAUUUCCUAUCCUGCUCCAUGGGACCAAUGACAUCCUUCUUUUUAGGCUCACUGAAGGAAUUUAUGGAGUAUAAUACCAGUAUAAGCAUACACAUGUAGGGGCUGGAGCGAUGGCUUGGCGGUUAAGAGCACUGGCUGCUCUUUCUAGUGGUCCAGGGUUUAAUUCCCAGCACCCACAUGGCAGCUCCCAACUGUGUAUAACUCCAAGAUCUGACACCUUCACACAGACAUGCAGGCAGGCAAAAUACCAGUACACAUAAGAGUAAAUAAAAUUUCCAAAAAAGGAUGCAAAUGUGAAGUUUUGAAAUGACUAAAUAGAUCCUGCCGGUUUGCCAGAGGAGAGAGCUUCCAAGAGCAUCAAAUAGACGGGAAUGGAGCUGAGGUGGGCUUCUCUUCACAGUGAUCCUUUAGGGAGGAUUCUCUGGCUUCCGUGGCCUUGAUAAAAUUCCCUAGGGCCCCAAAUGUGGCGCCAGAGCAGGAGAGGCUUUUGCCAGCAAGGGGUGGUAUUCUCUAGGGAGGAAAAUAAGUAUCUCCAUGGUAACCAGAGAAGAUGGAUGAUGUGAUCCAAGGGACCUCCCUGAGUUCUCUUACUUCUGCAGGAAGCACUGUGACUGAGAGAAUCCUGAGGAGGGUGGAACCCCUGUCACUCUCACGAUUGGCUUUCUGAGCAGCCUGCUGGGGUGCCAGUUGGCAAAGAUUUCACUUGACUUGGAGAAAAAUCUAAUCAGGGAGAGGUGUCUCUCGCGGCUCUUACUUGGGACCUCCUGCCCACGAAUGUAAAUGACUGGAAUAGUUGCCUCUACUCCCCACCCACUCAGAAGGUCCCAGUGAACGAAUGUUGCUAUUCUUGCCACUUGGGAAACCCAGGCCUGCUGCAGCCCUGACCCAGGCAGCAGGACCUGCAUGCCACCUGGGACUCCUCUAGCCGGUGCUGGGGAGGGUCGGAGGGAACCUCAGGGGAUGCUAGCAGGUUCUCUCCCUGGAGCUAGGUGGUGAAACAUAAGGUCUACCCCAGCGCCAGAGGGGGCUUGUGUGCGUGUUAUAAUUUCUCCCUCCCUCUCCCUGCAGCCCAGACAAUUUCUCCCUUGUAUUCACUUUCCCUGCCCUUGUCAGGGACUCACUUCUGCCCACUCACAUUGGAAUUCAGCUCUGUUCUUUCUCUUAAGAAGUACAUUUAAAAGUACUUAAUUCGUGAAUUAAUUUGUGGGCGAGGCUUGCCACAGUAUCCGUGUUGAAGAGGACAAAUUACAGGGUUUACUUCUUUUUCUUUCUUUUUUCCUUCUUUCGUUCAUUUGUUCUAGAAAGGAGUUAUAGGUGUUUGUGAGCUAUCUUUCCAGCCCAAGGUUUGGUUCUUGCCCUCCACCAUCUGGGUCCCUGGGAUCAAAAUUGGGUGGCAGGUACCUUGUGCUGGCUAGUUUUGUGCCAACUCGAUACAAGCUGAAGUCAUUUUGGAAGAAGGAGCCUGGAACUCGUUCUGUAGACCAGGCUGGCCUUGAACUGAGAGAUCCACCUCCCUCUGCCUCCCGAGUGCUGGGAUCAAAGGUGUGCGCCACCACCUCCCUGUGGGAGUAAUAUUUUUGAUUGACUCUAAGGGCAGCUUCAGGAAUUCUUACCUGGAAGUAUUAAAGGGCCAAGGAGCUGUGACUGGGGAGGUCACAGGCUCAAGGGGGGGGGGGAGAACCCAGUAUUCCAGUAUUAUUAUGCUAAGCAGACACAGAAUUAAAACGGCUUCUAAUGGCUUAUGGGGUCAGAGCACCUCAAAGCUCUCACCAGUGUGUGGCUUCUCUCUUCUGUAGGGAUCAGUGAACCCCAAAAGAUUCAAGACCGACAGAGGACAAAAGACUGAAGUGUUCAGCACUAAAUCAGACAUUUGUAUCGGGGAUUCUUUUUUUUUUUGGGUCGAGAUAGGGUUUCUCUGUGUAGCCUUGGCUGUCCUGGACUCACUUUGUAGACUAGGUUGCCCACGACCUCACAGAGAUCCAUCCGCCUGUCCCUGCCUUCCCUGAGCACUGGGAUUAUAAAGGUGCACCACCACCCAGCGGCUCAGGGAUCUCUGGAGACAAGAGAGGGACAUUCGUAAGAGCCGGAUGUGACGGAUGAUUUCUAGGAUGACAGCAUUUCCCAGACACAACAGGGGAGGCGCGCAUGUUAGUUCGCAGAAGUUGUGACGGCAUGCACAAGCCCUGGGCAAGCUGCGGCAGAUGAAAUCCCAGCACAGAGGGCAGUGUGAGACGGAAGGGGUUGGACAGGAAAUCCCACCACCACGUAGGGAGCUAUUAGCAUUGGCUAGCUGCUGGGAGAGGGAGAGCCAAUUUAAAGAAGAAUAAACAAAUUAAAAAAACAAAACCCUGGGGAGGUUGACCACACACCAGGCCUCACUCUCAAGAUUAGCUGGGCAACACAAACUGGACUCAGUAGGAAAGGUAAAAAAAGAAAGAAAAAAAAAAUCUCCAAGUCGGGUGGGAGGGGAUGGGAGGUUUGAGACGGUGGUAACGGAGGGGUUGAGGGGGUGAAUAUAUCCAAAGUGCAUCCUCUGGCUGAAGAAGCCCCGACUCAACACCUUUCACCCCACCUCCAACUUUCCCAGCGCACCUACCUUUCCCUCCCUCUUAAAGCCAAUCCUUUACCCGAGUUUCUGAAGACAGAACUGUGGGGUCCAUAGCCCCCUUCCGUCUCCUCAGGACCAGCCCUUGAAUAAAUGAGACACCCUUUACCUCAGUGUUCAGCUCUCUCUCCGCUCUAGGCCUUUGGAUGUGGAGUGGGCAGACUUGAUCUGGGGACCCGUUCAACAUGUUCAUUUUCCUUUAUCUUUAAGUAAUUUAAUUUUGCGUGUAUGUGUGUAUGCCCGAGUGCAUGCAUGUACAAGCGCGUGAAGGCCUGUCGCCUAUGGAGGUCGGAAGAGGGUGUCAGAUGCCCUGGAACUGAACCACCAUCUGGGUUCUGGAAACCAAACCUCCAUCCUCUGCAGGAGCAACAAGCGCUGAACUGAACCCAGCGGGGCCUUGUGUUACGACGCCUAUAAAAUCCCAGCACUCUGAAGGCUGAGGCCCUGGGAGUACAAGUUCAAGGCCAGCCUGGGCUACACAACGAUGACCUGUCUCAAAACAAAAAAAAACAAAAAACUAUAACACAAAUGACUUUCAUGUGCACAUGGCUUGAGUAAUAUGUAUUAUAUAGUUAUAUGAAAGUUUAUCUUAUUAUUAUUUUUUAAACAAAGUCUCAUUGCGUAGCCCUGGUUGGCCUAGAACUUGCUACAUAGACCAGACUGGCCUCGAACUCACAGAGAUCUGCCUGCCUCUUCCUACGAGUGCUGGGAUUAAAGGUGUGCACCAUCAUGCUCAGCCUUUGAGUAAUCUAAUAAACUAAGAAUAUUUAUCAUUUAGUAACGAUGGAUAUUCUACCUUAAUUUACUAGUUUACUAAGCUUAUGUGAUAUCUUUUAUUUUUUCUGCAGUGCUAGGAAUGGAGUCCAUGCUAGGAAAGUAGGCACUACUGUUGAGAGAAACCCCAGCCCUUUACAAUGUUUUCGUCCUUUUUUCUUUCUUCCUUUUUCCUUCCUUCCUUCCUAAGACAAAAAUCUCAUGUAUCCUAGGCUGGCCUUAAACUUGCUAUGUAGAGAAAGAUGACCUUAAUUUUUUGAUCCUCCUGUCUCCAUCUCUUCCAAGUACUGGCAUAAAUAAAUAAAAUUUGUCAACAAGAAAAAUUAGUUAUCCGUUCAGUGGUGCCAACUGGUGUGAUACUGGGAAGGUGGAGACAGAAGGGUCUAGAUUUCAACCCCAACCGAGGCAACAUAGCUCAAAACGUAACAGUCCGUCAGGCUGGCAAGGUGGCUCAGGGGGGCAAAGGUGCCUGCUGCUAUGCAAGCCGGACAACCUGAGUUUUCUUCCUGGAACCCACCGGAAGGAGAGGAGCUGGGAUGGAGUUUGAGACUACGGGAAAAGACCACAGACUCAAUUCAAAUUAAAAUUAGUUAAAUUUAUUAACACUGCUAGCAGGACAGCAGUCUCUGAGGCAAACUUGAGAUUGCGGUGUGAAAAGGGCUGAUGGAAGGACUUUUAAAGAGGAAAACUGCAAGAAGACUUUUAGUGUCUGCAUAAGCAAGCCAGGAGCUGCUGUGUUCUGCCAAGAUUAGGUAGUCAAGGCAACCUCAAAAUAGUCCUUGAAUGUCUGCAUAAGUAGGUUCCAGACACCCCCCCCCAAUCAGUCAUAUCAUAACAAGUAGGUGGCCAUGGCUGUGUAAUUUUAGGUGGGGGACAAGGAGUAGAACUCACCUUCCAGAAAUGUUGAGUCAGAAUCAAACAGCUAUUAGGUACCAAGACAGAUGCCUAGCACAAAAUGGAAUUUCUUUAGACAUCACAAAGCAACUGCACAAAGUUGCCCUCUGACCUCCACAGGCAUGCCGUGGCACAGAAGCCCAUGCACAACACACACACACAUCAUCUGUUUACACUAGUGAUAAUAAAUAAUAAUAAUAAUAAUAAUAACUCAGAAGCAGCCACCACCACCACACCACCAGCCAAAGCAACUGGAUAUGACAGUAAAUCGUUUUACUUAGUGUUAAAUCUGCCUUUAAAAACAUUUUUGGGCACGGUGGUGCAUGUCUUUAAUCCCUGCACUCGGGAGAUGAAGCCACGAAGAUCUCUGUGAGUUUGAGGCUGACCUGGUCUACAAAUGAGUUCCAGGACAGUCAGAGCCAUGUAGAGCGAGACCUUGUCUCAAAACAAUUAAAAAAAAAAGAUUUUUCUCUGAGGGGGUUUGUGGGGAUCAGGUAUGGUGAUGCUGACAUGAUCUACACAGAAUUCUAGAAUUCUAGCUUGUAACAGGGCCCCAGACCUUAGACGGCCCUGAGACCUUAGCAUGACUGACUCCAUGAUGAAAGUGCCAUGCGGGACCUAAAACUCAGCAUGCAGACAGCACCGCCUGCUAAGACGAAAGCAAAGACCCAACCCACCAAAGUGCAUAGCACCGGGAAAGUUUCUAUACCUUGAUUUUUAGCUUCAGCAGUUCCUCUUCUGGAUUAUCUGUGCUUGUUAACUGAAGUAUGCCAACUCAGAACAUGUGGUUUUAUGUGUGUGUGUGUGUGCUUUUAAAAGCUUACCCUUAGAAGGGCUCACGGCUGCACUGGGAUCCAGAACAUUCCAGUGUAGGCAAGCAUUGACCGGCUAAUAAAGCCUUUCUGUUAGCUUAAAUCUAGAUCCCAGCAGUCUCCUCUGGUGAAUACCCCACAAUACAGAUUAGCUACAGCUAUGUAGUGAUACCCUGUCUUGAAUUUGUUUGUUUGUUUUGUUUUCUUUUCCAGUGUGGGAAGGGGCUGGGGAGAUGAUGCAACAGUUAAGACCAUUGGCUGCUCUUGCAAAAGAUUCAGGUUCCGUUCCUGGCACCUGCAUGGAUGCUCACGACUGUCUGCAGUGCCAGGGAUCCUGAUGCCCCCCCUUUUAUGACCUUUUUUUUGGGGGGGUAUCGCAUGUGGCUUACAUACAGGUGCACAUGCAGGUGAGACCCCAAUACACAUAAAAUACUAAAAUAAAAGAAAUUCUCUAAAAAUAUGUCAGGCCGAGGGAUGGCUUAAAAGUUAAGGGUGCUUGCUUCUCUUCCAGAAUACAUGGAAGUCAAGCAUUCAUGCCUGGCUACUCACAACUGCCUAGAACUUGAGCCCCAGGGAAUCCUUGUUCCCCUCUGGCCUCUUAGGGCACCCCCACACAUGUGCACACACACCCCCUUCACACACACAUACACACACGUAAAAUAAACUAAUGCGGCUGAGCCUGGUGGCAUUUGCCUUUCUUUAAUCCCAGCAUUCAGGAGGCAGAUCUCUGAAUUCCAGGCCAGUCUGGUCUACAUACCAAGUUUUGGGCUAGCUGGGACUGCUUAGUGAAGUCCCCAUCUCCAAGGGAAAACGAAAAACAACAAAAACAGAACCUUUAUUUAUUUGUUUAUUUGUUUAUUUGGAGACAGGCUCUCUCUGUGUAGCCCUGGCUGACCUAGAAUGCGCUCUGUAGACCAGGAUGGCCUCAAAUGUAGAAAUCUGCCUGCCUCUGCCUCCUGAAUGCUGGGAUUAAAGGACACACCGCCACCACUGCCCAGCUCAGAAAAAGAUAAAAUCUUAAAAACUUCCUAGGGCUGGUUAGGUUGCUCAGUGACCGAGGGCUCACCCAGCAUUUGAUCCCCAGCUCUGAAAACGAGAAAAAGUAAAAGAAUAAAAACAUCUAAAGUCUCUCUGAUGCUUUAACUAAA